CCUUUUAAAUGGCUCUUUGAUAACAAUACCCAUACAGCACAGAAGCUGCAGCAACAUUGUUGUAACAUUGCAAAAUUGCAUAUUGCAGUGCAAUAUUACAGCAAAAUUGCAAAAACAAUAUUGUGCAAUAUUAUUUCUGCAAUAUUACAGCUAUAUUGCAAAGAUAUUAAUUUGCAAUAACAAUUAAAUAUCCGUGGACGAAUGUCCUAUGCGACGCUAAACGCUUUAACCUCCUCUUUUAUCUCCUCUUUUAACCUCUAUUCGUUGAUAGAUGUUAAAAAAAAAUUUGACUACGAUUGUCCGAUUUUUAAAGCUUACGGCUUAAAUCACCGAAUGUUAGACUAGUUAGGGUUAAAGUCGGUCUUAACUCUAUGACUUAUUGUAAAACCAGCUUGUCGUCAUGCUAUAUCAAUAUUCUAAUUGGUGAAGAAGGGUUUGUGUCUCCAUCGAAUUAGCAGAGACCUGGUCACGUGAUCAGUUUGCCACUCUCUCCCUUUGAGGCUCUUUAGUUGGAAGUUGGAAUCUCCUUACAGUGUCUGUUACGUAACUGGAGAAAAGAGUCAAGUUGCAGAUGACACAAAUGUGUGUGUUGAGAAACUGACGGAGCCUUAUAACCUUUCUGAAAGAUCUCAUUGGAACCACCGUACUCAGAAAUUGUAUUUUGUCGACCUAUAUAUGAUACUUACAAUGCUGCUCUCAAAGCGGCUAAAACUGUUCUAGAGGGAGAAGUUGCUCGAACAGAUGUGAAAACAGAUUAUGACCAACCAAGAAAGAAAAAAAAGAAUAAAAGAUAUAUAUCCUCUUCAGAAGAUGAAGAAUUAGACAAUCCUGCAUUACAUAUCCCUCGUGGUACAAGCACUGAAAUACCUGCUCCAAAUUCUCUCCUUCCAAAUAAAUUCAAAGAACUUAUUAAAAAUAAAUCAGUGAAAAUAUCUACUAAACAGUCAAUAGAAAAAGACACAUCUAUAGGAAAAUCAUUAUCUUGUAAUGAAUCAAGUGUUAAGUCAUCAGGCCAUUUAAAGUUAACUCACUAUAACAUUACAUUAGAGGAAAAAGGAUAAAGCAGCAUUCUUUA